UACGGAGGAUGCAAGCGUUAUCCGGAUUCACUGGGUUUAAAGGGUGCGCAGGCGGACAUUUAAGUCAGGGGUGAAAUCCUACAGCUUAACUGUAGAACUGCCCUUGAUACUGAAUGCCUAGAGUAAAGCUGAAGUGGGCGGAAUGUGUUGUGUAGCGGUGAAAUGCUUAGAUAUAACACAGAACACCAAUCGCGAAGGCAGCUCACUAAACUUUAACUGACGCUCAUGCACGAAAGCGUGGGGAGCAAACAGGAUUAGAUACCCUGGUAGUCCACGCCCUAAACGAUGAUCACUCGCUGUUGGCGAUAUAUUGUCAGUGGCUAAGCAAAAGUGAUAAGUGAUCCACCUGGGGAGUACGACCGCAAGGUUGAA
rnacentral:rRNA from 1 species